rnacentral:lncRNA from 1 species
AUGCCCGCGGGCCCCGCGCCGCGCCCGGGCUCCAUCAGCGCGCUGGGGCGUCUCGGCGGCCGCCAUCGCCGUCCAUCUCUGUGGGCCAAGGACACAGGCCCGCGUGAGCGCCGGCCCUGCCGCACCUGCCCAGGCCGCGGAAUGAGACAGCGCCGCCCCGGGUCCGCGCCCUGCCCAGCCCCGACCUCGGAGAGCCUGCGGGGGCCGUCUCUGGGGGCCCUGGGAAAGGGGGGCUGCAGACGGGACCAGAGGCUCGGGUUGGGGAGGAGGGGUCCGUGCCCUGCUCAGCCUCAGGCUGCGGAGAGGGACGGGCCUGUGGUGUCCCUGGAACCCUGGGAGAGAGGACCUGCUAGGGUGUCUCUGAGGGCCCCGGAGGCCGGCAGAGGGAUCUCGCGCCCUGCCCAGCCCCGGCCCGGGAGGGUCCUGCUAAGCUGCCCCGGAGGUAGCUGUAAAGGGGAUAGGGAGGCCCUGGGGCGGGAGGAAGGCACCAUCUGGCGGCGGCUCCACAAAGGACGCGGGCCCGGGGCGCGGGAGGGGCGCGCGGGAGGGCUGCAGCGCCGCGGCGCGCACACAAAGGCGGCGAGCGGCGUUGGGGAGGCUCGGCACUCACAGGGCGAGCGGACGCCGUCCAUGCCCGCGGCCCGGCGGCCGGGGCUUGCGAGGAGGGCGAGAUCACGCUUCGGGGCCGGGGUCCGAGCUCCAGGCGAGGUCCGCGCUGGGGUGGGGCCGCUGCGCCGCUCCGGCUCCUGCGCGCUGCUCUCUCGGGCCGGGCCACUGCGGGGCUGCGCUCCCGCGUGCUCCUGCCGGCUUCGCGCGACUCCGCUCCCGCACCGGCUCCGACCCGGCGCGCGGGAGGGCGGGUUCGCCCCGCCCCGGACCGGCGCAGGGGCUGGGCCUGGCACGCCCACCUGGCUGCGGACGGGCGGGCGGGUGCGCGCGGCCACCUGCGGGCCGGCUACCUGGGGUCCCACCCGCGGCUCUUUGCUCGAGGUAGCGCUCCUGGCCUCGGAAGUUCUUUGGAACGCUCCGCAGGGCUGUCAGCUGCAGAUGACCCUAUUUGUUCCUGAGAGGAGGCAGCAGGCUCAACGCCUCAGCACGCCGCAGCCCGGCGCGCCAGACCUCAGGGCCCGGUGCUAG